rnacentral:SRP_RNA from 1 species
CGUCAGGGGCCGUGGAUGGAGAGCUUGUGAACCCCGCCAGGUCCUGACGGAAGCAACGGCAGCAUGCCUUUGCAUGCCGCGGUUCCCUGGCACUU